CUUCUGGCUUUUCAGGGGGUGAGUACAGGCUUCUUGUGGUCAAAAGGGACACGGGGAGGCAGUUCUUACAACUCCAAUUUACAAUGCUGGGGUAGAGCUCAAGAAAGACCCUGUUCAGGAUACUGUUAGCAUUUGAGACGAUCCUCUGGCCUCCCUCCUCACCUGACUCUAUGAAGAUAUUGUAAGAGACGUCUAAACAGUACCCAGAAGACAGGAAGAGGUGGGAAGUUCGGAAUGUCCUAGAGGCUUGUUGAACGGCUUAGACCAAAAUGCUGACAGUGAUACGGACAAUAAAGCCCAGGCGGAGGCUGUCUCAGACGGAGAUGAACUGUUUCCGUGUCUCUAACAUGCGUCUUCAGUGCUGUCUCUACAGUCUUAGGAACUAUGGCCUGUGGUGCUGCCGGGGCUCAGAAAACGAUUCCGCAAAAUACGGCCCUUUGACCUGCUGAACUAAAGAAGCCGCCUCAAGGAGGAGCUGUGACAGAACCCCCCAGAUACUGAAGUGAGGAAGGACGAGGCUUUUAUUCAGCUAGCUGUGGAGCAUCAGUUUGCUCGUGUCCAAAAGAUGCUGAGCUCCCUGAAAAGCAGUUUCUUUCCCUUUUUAAAGACACGCAACUCAAGAGGAA